rnacentral:rRNA from 1 species
GACGAACGCUGGCGGCGUGCUUAACACAUGCAAGUCGAACGGAAAGGCCCUGCUUUUGUGGGGUGCUCGAGUGGCGAACGGGUGAGUAACAAGUGAGUAACCUGCCCUUGACUUUGGGAUAACUUCAGGAAACUGGGGCUAAUACCGGAUAGGAGCUCCUGCUGCAUGGUGGGGGUUGGAAAGUUUCGGCGGUUGGGGAUGAACUCGCGGCUUAUCAGCUUGUUGGUGGGGUAGUGGCUUACCAAGGCUUUGACGGGUAGCCGGCCUGAGAGGGUGACCGGCCACAUUGGGACUGAGAUACGGCCCAGACUCCUACGGGAGGCAGCAGUGGGGAAUAUUGCACAAUGGGCGGAAGCCUGAUGCAGCAACGCCGCGUGCGGGAUGACGGCAUUCGGGUUGUAAACCGCUUUCGCCUGUGACGAAGCGUGAGUGACGGUAAUGGGUAAAGAAGCACCGGCUAACUACGU